rnacentral:rRNA from 1 species
GACGAACGCUGGCGGCGUGCUUAACACAUGCAAGUCGAACGGAAAGGCCCUUUCGGGGGUACUCGAGUGGCGAACGGGUGAGUAACACGUGGGUGAUCUGCCCUGCACUUCGGGAUAAGCUUGGGAAACUGGGUCUAAUACCGGAUAGGACUACUGGGUGCAUGCCUGGUGGUGGAAAGCUUUUGCGGUGUGGGAUGGGCCCGCGGCCUAUCAGCUUGUUGGUGGGGUGAUGGCCACCAAGGCGACGACGGGUAGCCGGCCUGAGAGGGUGUCCGGCCACACUGGGACUGAGAUACGGCCCAGACUCCUACGGGAGGCAGCAGUGGGGAAUAUUGCACAAUGGGCGCAAGCCUGAUGCAGCGACGCCGCGUGGGGAUGACGGCCU